GACGAACGCUGGCGGCGUGCUUAACACAUGCAAGUCGAACGGUGAAGCGCCUUCCUUUUUGGUGGGUGUGGAUGAGUGGCGAACGGGUGAGUAACACGUGAGUAACCUGCCCCCUUCUUCUGGAUAACCGCAUGAAAGUGUGGCUAAUACGGGAUAUUCUGGGUCUGUCGCAUGAUGGGUCUGGGAAAGAUAUUGCUUCGGGGGGGGAUGGGCUCGCGGCCUAUCAGCUUGUUGGUGGGGUGAUGGCCUACCAAGGCGGUGACGGGUAGCCGGCCUGAGUGGGUGGACGGUCACACUGGGACUGAGACACGGCCCAGACUCCUACGGGAGGCAGCAGUGGGGAAUAUUGCACAAUGGGCGCAAGCCUGAUGCAGCGACGCCGCGUGAGGGAUGGAGGCCUUCGGGUUGUGAACCUCUUUCGCCAGUGAAGCAGGCCUGCCUCGUUUGUGGGUGGGUUGACGGUAGCUGGAUAAGAAGCGCCGGCUAACUACGUG
rnacentral:rRNA from 1 species